ACGCUGCUGCGGCCUGAUCUAUGCAAGUCGAGGGGAAACGAUGUGUGUUCGCACUUAGGCGUCGACCGGCGGACGGGUGAGUAAUACACAGGAAUUUACCUUGUAGUAGGGGAUAGCUCGGAGAAAUUCGAAUUAAUACCGCAUAUUGUCUAAGGAUGAAAGAGGGGGAUCGUAAGACCUCUCGCUGCAAGAUGAGCCUGUGCAAGAUUAGCUAGUUGGUGAGGUAAAGGCUCACCAAGGCAACGAUCUUUAGCUGGUUUGAGAGAACGAUCAGCCACAUUGGGACUGAGACACGGCCCAGACUCCUACGGGAGGCAGCAGUAAGGAAUAAUGCGCAAUGGGGGAAACCCUGACGCUGCCAUGCCGCGUGUAUGAAGAAGAUUUUAGGAUUGUAAAGUACUUUUAGCGAUGAGGAAAAGCUUUUGGCUAAUACCUUAAAGCCUUGACAUUAGUCGCAGAAAAAGCACCGGCUAACUUCGUGCCAGCAGCCGCGGUAAUACGAGGGGUGCAAGCGUUAAUCGGAUUUACUGGGCGUAAAGCGCAUGUAGGCGGCAUUGCAAGUUGUAUGUGAAAGCCCCGAGCUCAACUUGGGAACUGCAUACAAAACUGCAUUACUGGAGUGUAGUAGAGGAUAACGGAAUUUCCUGUGUAGCGGUGGAAUGCUUAGAUACAGGAAAGAACAUCAGUGGCGAAGGCGGUUAUCUGGGCUACAACUGACGCUGAGAUU
rnacentral:rRNA from 1 species